UGUAGGAAUAAAAGUAAGGCUUUUCUUCUUUCUUCAACCUCUUUUCUUCACCAACUUGCCAUAGACGGAAGGUUGCAGAAGAAUAAGAAGAAGAAGAGAGGCGGCCAGGAUAAUCGGAGGAGAUUUCGAUUCCUGAAGGAAGGUCGGAGUGCGAUUGACAGUGACGUAUAAUUUCAAGGAGCUGCUCUUUGAUCUUCUUUCCUGGAAUCGAUUUUUCAUUGGCUUUUCUUUUCCCCUGCAAAUCCUUAUCAGUUGCGCGUUUUUCAUUCAUGGGAACAGUGGUUGUCUUGGAUGCUACACAAAGCCGAAACUAAAAACUAAGCUCAACGAACCGUCGGAAGGUCAACCAAUUCAUUGUGAUGGACUAGAGAAACCCAGCAGAUCAGAGGAUUUCUGGACUACUAGUACAUUUGAUGUGGACAACAGUGCAGGUCAAUCACAAGGUAGUAUGUCAUCAAUGAGUACAAUCAACCAGAUGCACAAUCCACACGGUAGCUCGGGCAACGUACACAACCCCUCAGAAUUCAUAAAUCAUGGCUUUCUUCUGUGGAAUCAAACUAGGCAACGCUGGACGGGGAAUAGAUCCGAAAACCGAGCACCGCAGUUUCAAGAACCCAAGCUAGACUGCAAUGCAACAUAUGAAAAUUUACUAGGGAGCAACAAGCCAUUCCGCCAACCAAUUCCACUCAGCGAAAUGGUAGAUUUUCUUGUGGAUGUAUGGGAACAAGAAGGGUUGUAUGAUUGAUUAAUUUGAAGAGUGCACAAGGCUUCAUAGUCUCACUGUGAGUCAAUGGCUUUAUUUGAACCAUCAAAAUCUGCCUUGUAUUGCUGAAACUUCAAAUGAACAUUUCCCCUGCUGCUGCCGACCCCUCUUUUUGGUGCUUGGUUUGAUUUUCUCGUAGUGCCUUGGAGCUUUACAUCUUUACUCUGCUGUAGAAAAUUCAGCUGUGCUAGAAGUUACUGUUUUUGCAAAUUAUUUUUCUUUUCUUUCCUCUAAGUAAUGAUAAACAAAUCUCAACA